CAGAAACGGCAGAAACAGCAGCGAAAACAGCUCAAAUCAAAUAAUGUGGGGCCAGGCCAAAACAGUUUCAGGCAAAACGCUCGCUCGCGAUGACACAAUAGCGAAAUAGUGCCGCUGGCGAAUGAAUUUAGCGCUAAAAAUCAAGCAUACGCAACGUGGUGCGCGGCCAAGCAGCUAAAAAUAAGAAUCGUUCUUUUGUGCCAUUUUUUAAGUGCGCAAAACCAAAUGAUUUUCCAAUCUAUGCCAUAAGUGAAGUGAAGUUAAAACGCAAAAUGUUGAGUGAAGAAUAAUUACACAUGCCAUUAAAUAUUGUGCCACAAAACAACUAACAAUCUAAACAGCAAACCUCAAGGAAUAAUUUAAAACCAACUUAAUUAAAUCCAGCAGCUGCACAACGGGUCAACGAUUGCGUGAAAUCGGCGUUAGGCGACGCAGCAAUAUGAUCUAUAUAGAUGACUCAGAGCCGGAAGGUGUUUUGGAACCGGCAUUUCCCAUGCGCGAUGUGACCAUAAAUCGCAACGUCGAUGCCCAUAAACAUUACGAUGUGCUGGGUGAGGUGGGACGCGGAAAAUUCGGUACGGUGUACAAGUGCAAGGACAAGGCGAAUGGCCUGCAGCUGGCGGCGAAGUUCGUGCCGAUCCCCAAGCGCGAGGACAAGCGGAAUGUGGAGCGGGAGGUGGAGAUAAUGAAUUCAUUGCAGCAUCACCUCAUCAUACAGUUGUACGCGGCAUACGAAUAUCAGAAAAUGAUGUGCGUCGUCCUGGAACUCAUCGAAGGAGGUGAGCUCUUUGAUCGUGUGGUGGACGAUGAGUUCGUCCUCACCGAACGGGUCUGUCGCGUCUUCAUCCGCCAGGUGUGCGAGGCCAUGGCCUUCAUCCACGGCAAUGGCAUUGUCCACCUGGAUCUGAAGCCCGAAAAUAUUUUGGUGCUCACGCAGAAGGGCAACCGCAUCAAGAUCAUUGAUUUCGGACUGGCUCGUAAAUUUGAUCCUGAUAAGCGGCUGAGAGUUCUCUUUGGCACUCCGGAAUUUGUGGCGCCAGAAGUGGUGAACUUUGACUGUAUAUCCUAUGGAACAGACAUGUGGAGUGUUGGCGUUAUAUGCUAUGUGCUCAUCUCAGGACUGUCGCCUUUCAUGGGCGAGAACGACAUUGAAACAAUGUCAAAUGUAACCAUUGCAAAAUACGACUUCGAGGAUGAAUGCUUUAAUGGCAUAUCCCCCGAGUGUCUGGAUUUCAUAGCCAAGCUGCUGGCCAAGGACCUGGGCACCCGGAUGACAGCCGCCGAAUGCAUGAAGCACAAAUGGCUUCAGCAGCGGCCGGCCACCGCCGCCACGGCCACGCCCAUCACAAAGGCCGCCUCCUCGGCGUCCAAGUCGCGCCUGAAGUCUGUGUCUCCGGUGACAGCUCCCUCAGAGUCCUCCGAGGACUCCACGGAAACCAUCGAGGACGAAGACGAUGAGGAAGAGAUUGCCGUGGAGCAGGCGAAGCAGGAGAACCAGCAGCAGGACGAGGAGCUGGCCAAGCUCUGCGGCGACGCUGAACUCGAGAACAAAGAACUGGAUGCCACGAAGGACAACCUUAAGAACUUCAUCGUGCGCUGGGAGACGCAUCCGAACAGUCCGUACGUGUUCGACGUGGAGGGGAAUGUGAUUGCUCCGCUGAGCGAGACGAGCUACCCCCAUCCCAGGAGGACCCACGGCGCGGACAGCCUUUCCUCCUCCAGAGUUUGUUCGCCUUCGCCCUGUGAAUCAAUUUCAACUUUGACGGAUGACGAACGGGGAGAAGUUGAAGAUCUGCCGGAAGAGGACGAAUCCCGCAGUGCGGACAACGAGAGUCCUCGCUCGGUGGCCACGCCCAUCAACGAGUCCCGGGAGAAGCUGUUCCCGACGGUAGCCACCUCCAGUCCGUCAACUCCCACGCCGCAGCACCUCUUCAACGAGAACUUCGACGAGUUCUCCGGCAGUCAGUCCACCGCCCAGCAGCAGCGCAGCAUGAAGAGCUAUCUACACACCUUCGAUCGAAGGAACUCGGAUACCACCUACCUGCUGGGUCGGCGGAGUUCCGGAGAGAGGGUAAACCUGGCGGAUGAGAUAAGGAAGCUAUCCGAUCACCUGCUCAUGCUGGCCGAGAUCAACACCAAGCUUGGCGAUGCGAACAAUAAUGGGAGCAGCAGUGGAGCGCCUGCUGAUCCUCCUGCUGCUGCUGCUGCUACUGCUCCAGCAUCUGUUGCACCUUCUGGAAGUACUUCUAGUAAAACCUCCGAGAUCAGCCAGGAAGGCAAUAGGUGGACAAGCAAAACCACAUCGAGCAGCAGUUGGAAUCGUCCCACUUUGAAAGGAGGACUCCUCAGCCAGGCCAGCAGCAGUUCCCAGAGCCAAAGCACCUACGAUGAUGGCAAGGGCAAGACGAAGAUCAGUUCGCUGUCUGUGAGAUUGCAGCAGUCCAUCGAGGAAACACCCAAGCUAAGCAACGGAAACAGCUCCUCUAGCAAAUCCCUGGUGCAGUCGCAGCAAAAGUCCACGGUGCACACCAUAAGCAGUUCCAAUGCCAGGAGCUUCACCAACCAGCAAGUACAAAGAACCAGCACCACCUCUUCCAAGGUGAUCUCCAGCAGCACCAGAAGCAGUAACGCCAGCUCCAGCAAUUAUAUAUCCUCCAACGCCAGCAACUCAAUCUCGACCAGCGCCAGCAAUCCAAGCUCCACCGGCGUCAGCAACCCAAUCUCCACCAGCGCCAGCAACGAAUCGGCCAGCAGUCGUCGAGCCAAGUUCAGGAUAAACCAGAUGAGUCGCGAUGUGCCCGUGGGGCUGCCGGACACUCAUCAAACCGUGAAUCUGGAGGAGGCGGCCAACACCACCAAGGAUUGUCUGCUGCAUUUGUUGGAGAAGUACAACGAGACCCGCAUUCGCAAUCCUGUGGGUCGUCACCAGAGCAUCAGCGUGGACUGGCACGUCAGCGACAAUCUGGAGUACCGCUCCAUGAGCUCCAUCAACGCCUUCUUCCAGCGCCACAACCCCAAUGGCGGCGGCCACAACGUACGCCACAUUCAAGCCCAGCUGGAGGAGAAGGCGGCGGGCAAGUAGGUGCCCUUACCCAGAGCCCUCUGUAUAUAUGCGAUAUAUAUAUUUGUAUGUAGAGUACAGAUCAACUAAUUGGCACAUAGGUAAAUCUACAAAGCGUCGAAUGGAACAAAUUAAUAUUUAUGUACUUGAUGGCUUGGAUUUUGUUGGCAUCCCACAAUAUUUUAUAAAAAUAAAAAUGAAAAACGCGAUUUAUGUACUACCAACUAGAAAAUCAAAAACAAUUUAUUGCAGAAAAACAAAUAUUAACUUAUAAAAUGUACAAAAUUGUUUUAGUAAACUACAUUUUACGGCUACGUCUACAACCAAAGUUAUGCAUAGAAAUAGCCAUUUAUUAACAUACAAACAUGUAAAUGAUUUAAUGCGGGUGUGUUGGUAAUUUUGAAACAGGACAAUCGAGUUGUUUUGUGUUUUGUUUAUUGAUGUAUGAGUUGAAUAUGGUUUAAUUAUACAUAGAGUGUCUAUACAUAUAAAUAUUAGGAGAAUACUUUGGAUUUGUUCUUAGUUAGGUCUUACAAAUAAAUGCUUUGUAUAAAUGUUGUGAAGAAUAGGCUCAGCCUAUGUGUAUAAUAUAGUAAUCUAGUUUUUGUACAUGAUAGUUUCAGGCAAAAUUGUUUUCAUAAUUUGCCCAGAGAUCAUAGCAAAUCAUAAAAGACAUUUUUAGCACUGGUUAAGAAAUGAGAGCGCGACAAUUUGUGUCCAUUCGGCGGCAUUCAUAUAAAUAAGGCAUCCAAACGUGCAGAAAUUGACGAAGUUAAUUCAAAGGCAUUCCUCUUUUUUGUUUGUUUCCACUGGUCGAAUAGAUUACAAUGUUAGUAGGUCGUAAAAACAAAGCAGCAAUGAGCCGAAAUGCGGCUUAUUGGGGCAUCGUUUUGGCUCCCGUAAUGUGCAAGACAAAACUCAAUUCUGCUCUGCCCCCAGUUUCAGUACUUGGAUGAACUGGCAGGGCAGAGAAAGGAUGAGUUUUGUUCACCCGGCAAAUUUCAAAUGCAAAAGUUGCCGGCGAAAUUUGCAAGGAUUUCACAAAGUUAUGUAAAGUUAGUAUUCCAUCGUUAUAAAGGUUAAAUUUCGGUUGGCUUCAAGAUAGUUAAGACUAAUUCCAUUUAGCUUGCGGUCUCUCUCUUCUUGUUCAAUAGUUGUUUGUUGUUAAGAACUAAUCACUUAGUUUAUGGCAUUUCUCACUAGAGAAAUCUAAAAAGUUUCAUUUAGCUCGAGCUUACUGGUUGACUUACAACUAAUUACUGGUUACGAGUAGUUGAAGACUAACGAUUAAUAUUCGCAACUGUCGCCCUUGCACUGCAUAAAAAGGUUCGUAAUAAAAAAUUAGGAAAUACUACACAAUCGCAGUGGCUU
rnacentral:misc_RNA from 1 species